GAAAAAUGUAUAACCUAAUGCAUUUAUGUUUUCAAACAAAAGGGCUUUCUGAGAGUAGAAGCCAAACAGUGAUAUCAUCUCUCAUCCUUUGCGUUUAUAUCUCCCUGCAUUGUGCACCCCACGUAAUAGAGCAAGAGGAAGAAAUGAGCCUCAGUGAUGUUUGGAGGGAACACAACUGUGUUUGCCAGUGACAUGAUGGUCUGUUUCAAAAUCCCAAAACAUCUGUAUGAACACUCGGAAUUAAAAAGCUGAGUUUAGUGGGUUUAGGUGAUGAAGUUAAUAAAUGAAAACAAUCAAUCAUAGUGUUAUAUAAUAAGAAUGAAAAAUUAGACUUUGAGUAAAUAAUUCUUUAGCAUUUUAUUGAUGUGAUCACAAAUUUAUGUGAUGCUCUGUGCUAAUCCAGUAUAUUUACACAGUGUAUGAUGGUCAGGUCAUGGGAGUGAGCAUUUCCAUUUCCUUGUGGAGGCUUUGAAAAGAGGAUGAUCUGAAGAUGCUAUGGAGAUUGCUAGAACGUAAGGAGGGUGACGGGGAGGGGCUAAUGGGGUUCAGGUAACAGCUGCACAAAUGUGUUCAGGAAGAGACAGCAAGCAACUGUGGGGUGAUGCCAGUUCACGGGUACCUGUCAUACUUUAUGAAUAUUUCAUGAAUAUGGUAUCAGCACUUGUGGCUUGGGGUUCUCCUGCUUGUGGCCAUUGCUGGUCUUCUCCAUUAGGUUUUCCUCUUAGAGGAGCAGGUUUGAAGUCUCCCUGUGGGAAGUACACUCCCCCCGUCCCCUGUCCCUUGUUCAGAGGAUGCAGGUCCACUGUCAGUCAGUGUGCAGUCCCUCUGUGGGAGGCGCUGUUGCCCGAGGACAUGGUGCCCCGACUGCAGUGCACACAGAUGAUGGAGUUAUGCUGCAAAGGGCCCUUGCUGUGCUGCUGUGCCUGGGAGGGGCCCAGCAUGAGUCUGGCCAAGAGCAGCACUCCGCAGAUCUUGGCCAGAGAGAGGCAGACACACGCCCAGUGAAGCACACACCUCAGUCAUCCUGUGCACACAUGGAAGCAACACACUCAUGCACAUGGAGGAUCCCAUGGUAUCUGACAAGACACAGAAGAUUACAGAGGCCAGUCGCUGUGGUAGGCACGCCGUCAGCUGGGUGUUUCCGGUUCCUGGGUCCUGGAGCAGCUUAGGAGGGCUGCAAGCCUGUGUCCCCCCGAUGAGCUCCAGGCCUGUGGAGUGCGCAGGAUGGUUAAAGUUUGGAACGAGUCACAGUACAUUAGGGAAAUGAGGUGGAGGAGGCCUACUGUGAGACCCCCGUGUCAGAAAGCAAAGUGUAUGAUGGUCAGGUCAUGGGAGUGAGCAUUUCCAUUUCCUUGUGGAGGCUUUGAAAAGAGGAUGAUCUGAAGAUGCUAUGGAGAUUGCUAGAAGGGCCAGUCACUGUGGUAGCCACGCUGUCAGCUGAGUGUUUCCCGUUCCUGUCCCCUGGAGCAGCCUAGGAGGGCUGCAGGCCUGUGUCCUCCCGUUGAGCUCCAGGCCUGUGGAGUGCGCAGGAUGGUUAAAGUUUGGAACGAGUCACAGUACAUUAGGGAAAUGAGGUGGAGGAGGCCUACUGUGAGAGCCCCGUGUCAGAAAGCAAAGUGUAUGAUGGUCAGGUCAUGGGAGUGAGCAUUUCCAUUUCCUUGUGGAGGCUUUGAAAAGAGGAUGAUCUGAAGAUGCUAUGGAGAUUGCUAGAAGGGCCCUUGCUGUGCUGCUGUGCCUGGGAGGGGCCCAACAUGAGUCUGGCCAAGAGCAGCACUCCGCAGAUGUUGGCCAGAGAGAGGCAGACACACGCCCAGUGAAGCACACACCUCAGUCAUCCUGUGCACACAUGGAAGCAACACACUCAUGCAACACUCUCUCCUUUGCCUCGCCUUCAGGGCUUAGUGCUCAGCAGGCUGGGCCCAGCUAGGCCAGUCCUGGGGUGAAUGAAUCCCAGCUGCAUGUGUUCCAUGUAGGCUAGGGAAGUUGUGGAAGUCUUGCUGAGUGCACCCAUCACCGUCUUUGCUUGUUGGUGCAUUGGAUGGUGGGAACUGCUGAGUCUUGACUGUGGUCAGCGUCCAGUGCCCAUGACCGGAGAGGUCAGCCCCGUCCUGUAAGAGAGGUGUUGCUGUCUGAGUUCAUGACUAUAGACAGGACCUGGGGCGAUGAUUUACAUGGAACAGGAACCGGGGACCAGACACGGGCAGCCCCUCAGCAACAUCAUGG
ensembl:lncRNA